UCGAAGUCGAAAAAAGUCUAGGAGGGGAAGGGGAUGCGACUGUCGCCGGCCCUCCGGGGGCACGUGCACGUCGCUCUUCGCACCCUCCGAAGCUUUCCACCUUCUCUACACCUGUGUGCACCUGCUGUAGGUCCCUCGGGAUCUAUGUCUCCUCUCUCGAAACUCGUAUGUCUACAGAAUGUGUCUGCCGUGUCGACCGACCGCGUCGGCGACCGCAAAAGCCUUGUA
rnacentral:misc_RNA from 1 species